ACACCUCGGGUCUAAGGCAAAGCCCUUUUAAGUCAAUGGGAGUCUUUCCAUUGACUUCAGCUGGCUUUGUAUCAUACCCCAAGGGU
rnacentral:pre_miRNA from 1 species